UACAGAGGUCCCAAGCGUUGUUCGGAUUCACUGGGCGUAAAGGGUGCGUAGGUGGCGGGGUAAGUCGGAUGUGAAAUCUCGGAGCUCAACUCCGAAAUGGCAUUGGAAACUACCCUGCUAGAGGGUCGGAGGGGGGACUGGAAUACUUGGUGUAGCAGUGAAAUGUGUAGAUAUCAAGUGGAACACCAGUGGCGAAGGCGAGUCCCUGGACGACUCCUGACACUGAGGCACGAAAGCUAGGGGAGCAAACAGG
rnacentral:rRNA from 1 species